CAUCACUACGCUAGAUGCAUAUCAAUAAGCGGAGGAAAAGAAACUAACAAGGAUUCCCCUAGUAACGGCGAGUGAAGCGGGAAGAGCUCAAAUUUGAAAUCUUAAAAGGUUUUCCUUUUACGAAUUGUAGUUUAAAGAAGUGUUUUCCUGUUGAAGUUUUGGUACAAGUUCUUUGGAAUAGGACAUCAUAGAGGGUGAGAAUCCCGUAUUUGACCUUAAUUUUUCAACUUUGUGAUACACUUUCAAAGAGUCGGAUUGUUUGGGAAUGCAGUCCAAAAUGGGUGGUAAAUUUCAUCUAAGGCUAAAUAUAUGGCGAGAGACCGAUAGCGAACAAGUACCGUGAGGGAAAGAUGAAAAGAACUUUGAAAAGAGAGUUAAAUAGUACGUGAAAUUGUCAAAAGGGAAGCGUUUGGCACCAGUGUUGUUUUUCUAAAAAUCAAUUUAAAAUUUGCUUAUGUUAAGUGUUUUAGACUUAAUCGGCUAUACAUUUAAUUCUUUGUAAAUUUUGAGUGCACUUUUUAGUUAACAAGUCAACAUCAAUUUUUUUUGCUGUAAAAAAGUAAGAGGAAGGUGGCUUGGGAUUCGUUUCAAGUCGUUUAUAGCCUCUUGCCCAUGCAGUAGGAGAGAUUGAGGUCUGCAGCAUAGAUCCUUCGGGGCUAGAUGCUUUUGUGCUAGAAGCUAGUAUUAUAUAGACAACUUGUUGAUUAUGUAAUAUAUUAGUUUCUACUCGCUUAAGUUAUUUUACCUACGCUUAGGAUGUUGAUCUACAGAGCGAGAGU
rnacentral:rRNA from 1 species